GGGGAUUUAGGUCAGUGGUUCCGCCAUCUGCCUCGCAAGCAGAAGGUCUGGAGUUCAAUCCCCA
rnacentral:tRNA from 1 species